UACGUAGGGUGCAAGCGUUGUCCGGAAUUAUUGGGCGUAAAGAGCUCGUAGGCGGUUUUGUUGCGUCGGCUGUGAAAUCCCGAGGCUCAACCUCGGGUCUGCAGUCGAUACGAGCAAACUAGAGUGUUGCAGGGGAGACUGGAAUUCCUGGUGUAGCGGUGAAAUGCGCAGAUAUCAGGAGGAACACCGGUGGCGAAGGCGGGUCUCUGGGCAACAACUGACGCUGAGGAGCGAAAGCGUGGGGAGCGAGCAGG
rnacentral:rRNA from 1 species